GGGGCCAUAGCUCAGUUGGGAGAGCGCUUGCAUGGCAUGCNNGGUUCGACUCCUGUUGGCUCCA
rnacentral:tRNA from 1 species